CCAAACACUUGUUUAAACUAUUCCGAAGCACUCAGAACAUUUCACGGACCUCUCCAAAUCGUCCAUUACCACACUUCGGUCAAUUUGACUAAAGUUCGGUAUGGCGCACCGAGGAUUCAGUACACUACAAUCAGCGCAUUUGGUUUAAUGCAGUAAUGUAAUGCUAGAUUACAGUAUUUAUAACAUUACUACGUUUGGUUCUGUCUAUAAAAUUCAGUAAUCUAGACAAUAAAAUGUAGUCUAUUCCAAAAUUGCCCUUAUCCAUAUUUCACAAACAUUUUUUACUAUUUACAAAUAAUAUUUUUUUACUAAAUUUUAUUUUAAAUAAUUUAAUUUUUUUAAAUUUUAAUUUGAACAAAAAUAAAAAUUUAAUAUUUUAAUUUAAAAUAUAAAUAUGAAAUUUAUAAAUUUAAAAUCUAAAAUUUAAAUAUAAAUAUAAAAAUAAAAUUAAAAAUUAAAAAUUUAAAUUUAAAAUUCAGAAUGUAAAAUACAAAUUUGAAUUUUAAAAUUUAAAAUUUGAAAUUUAAAAUUUAAAAUUUAAAAUUUGAAAUUUGAAUUUGAGGCUUAAAAAUUUAAAAUUUAAAAUGUGAAAAUUUAAAAUUAAAAUUUUAAAUUAAAUUUUUUAAAAUGCCGUAUUGAAAGGGUUUCGGAAGUUAGAGGUGUAAAAUUGUCAUUUUACAUAGUAUGCAGUGUUACCGCCUUUCAGUAAUCCAAGAUACAUACUUCCUCCUCGGUAAUAUUUUUGGUGUAAUCCUGCACCAUUUGUAAUGCUACAUUAUUGACUCGAUUACAUACCGGAUGAACCAAACACAGUAAUCCUGACAAGAUUGCCUGUAAGCCUACCAGGAUAACUCGAAUCAAACACACCUAAAGAGAAAUCCAAAGAUCUUCAGUGCCCAUUUGAACCAUUGACCUAAAAUAUUUAAGCCUAGUUACUAUUGUUACGAUCC
rnacentral:lncRNA from 1 species